rnacentral:rRNA from 1 species
CUACGUAGGGGGCGAGCGUUGUCCGGAAUGAUUGGGCGUAAAGGGCGCGUAGGCGGCCGCUUAAGUCUGGAGUGAAAGUCCUGUUUUCAAGAUGGGAAUUGCUCUGGAUACUGGGGGGCUUGAGUGCAGGAGAGGUUAUCGGAAUUCCCGGUGUAGCGGUGAAAUGCGUAGAGAUCGGGAGGAACACCAGUGGCGAAGGCGGGUAACUGGACUGCAACUGACGCUGAGGCGCGAAAGUGUGGGGAGCAAACAGGAUUAGAUACCCUGGUAGUCCACACUGUAAACGAUGAAUGCUAGGUGUAAGAGGUAUCGACCCCUUUUGUGCCGGAGUCAACACAAUAAGCAUUCCGCCUGGGGAGUACGGCCGCAAGGUUGAAACUCAAAUGAAUUGACGGGG